AGAAAGAUAGAAAGAUAGAAAGAUAGAAAGAUAGACAGAGCCAAAACUGCUGUUUAUAUGUAAGGGAGUUUGUGCGCAUGCACACGGCAUCCAUGUUGACCAUGAACAACAAUGAGAUCUACAAGAGAGAAUCAGGCUCAGUCAUACUACUGUCCAUCAAUAGUGCCCUUGGGUCACAAUUCUUGGGUGGCUUCUAAUGAAACCACAUUCACACAAAUCAGAAGUCUGAGUAGUCAUGGCCUCUUUUCUACACCCAUCAAUCAAUGGCUUAGUCUCCAACUGAAGGAGGAGCUUCAGCCAUGCCUAUGUUAUUGUUAGCACCAUUAUUAUAGCCAAUAAAGGGAAGGAAGGUUUUCAAUAGUAGUAAAGAUUCCCAUGCCUAUUUUGAUGCUUUCUGAAUGAGAAAACACAGCACUUGCAUCCACUGAUGCUCUGCCCUUGCCCUCCUAUGUUGUUUGCUGUGGUUGCUAUGAUGCUUGUCCAAUAACAUCAUUCAUGCUCUCACUGUCACUGAGGGCUCAGCGUAAGUCACUGGGGCUCCUUCAGAGUGGGAGGAUAGAGAAGACACAAGACUAAGAGUUGGCAUCACGGACACCAGCUGGGCGAUCUGUUGCAUUUGCCAGAGAGGAUGUCUUCAAAUGUUAAAAACUGUUAUUCCAACAAGUGACUCUUAAAUACUGGAUGUUUGAGCCAGCAUAGAGAAAAUGUAAAACAAGAUACAAAAAGCAAAACAACAGCAAAAUAAAUAAACAAACAAAUAAUAAACAAAUAAAAAAAUAAAAACAUUUCAAGCGAGUGAAACUUACAGAGUCAAAUCUAAAACAGUCUAUUUGGACUUACGAACACCCAAAGUCCCUGCCAUCCACAGGGCUGAGGAUUCAACCCAGGGUCUCUCGUGCAAGCCAGGUAAGCACUCAACCACUAAAGUAUAUCCCUAAUCUCCUUCUGAUUUCUGUUUUGAGACAGUGCCUCAGGUGAGGCAAACUGACUUUGAAUAUACACUGCCACCUCAGUGGGCCUCGAAAUUUGUGAUGCCCUCUCCUGAGUAGCUGGAAUCACAGACCUACACCGCCAUGUCGGGUCCUAAGGCAUUUUAUAAGUGAAGGCGACAGAGCAGGGAUGUUUGACCAUCUUUAUAUCCACCGCUCAAAGCUGCUGGUGUGCGUCACUGGAAAGGAGUGUAAUUGAGUGAGUGGGUGAACAGCGUGUAAAUACAAACAACAGUGUGUGCCAGCGGCAUUUAGCCCUUGCUAACUCGAUUCGAAAGUUCACGAUUUACACACUUCAGCCAAAAACGGCGAUUCCGGCCUUUGAAGUCUCGAUUUGAUUAAAACACAUUUAGCAAGCAACAAUAACUUUCUAGAAUGCUGGGGAUUAUGUAUCGCUGAGGUUCUCUGCGGGGAGCAAGCAAUUCCCGCGACUGAAAUAGGCCUUUUGAACCUGGGAGAGGCAGAUCUGUGCGCCUGUAUCGGGGCGAACAUCUGAUUCUCUUAAUUACAUUCUGUCCUUGCUUCAGUCCUUCUCAUUUUUUGCUUCUGGGGCCUGAGCUCUCCCAAAACUGCUCGGCUUGAAUGAUCUUAAAAAAUUAGACUGGGUCUAUUUCCAGGGUGCUGGGGUCUGAAGCAGGAAGAAGCCUCCUCUACGAUGAAAAAACAGACUGGGAACAUAGGUCUCUUUCUCAUCCACAGCCUCCCCUGCUGCUAAGUUAGUCACCGCAACACCUGCCACUCCAUCAGUGCAAGAGGAAAGUGGACCGAGCCUGGGGUCUAAGUGCUCUGUAUUCAAAUUACUCUCUCAACCAAUUCCAGGCAAAACAACUUGUCUUCAAAGACACGGGUGUCCUGUGGGGGUUACAGCAGCUUAUAUAUCACAAGACAGUUAAAGCUGGGACCCAGAGAUGUUUUCGCGAAGGCGCCACCCUCAGAUCUGUUGGGAGAAGUUUGGAACACCUUACUUGACCUACUUGUUACUCCAUUGUGAGGACUCAGCAGACUGGUGCAGAUAAAGCUUAGGAGAAUGUGUGGCCCACGGUGAGACCUCCAUGGCUGUUAGUGACGGUGAAUCCACCAGAUACUAAAGAUCAUGGUAACAGGUAAGCCUCUUCAGUGUGGAGAGGAAGCACCUGAAUUUUCUGCACCUCCUUGCCCUCCAGGACUGACUCCAUCCUUUUGCACACAUCUCCUUAAAUAGGCAGAGGCUGUGGGUUGCUGUUGAGUCAUCUGAAGACAUGGGGACCUGUGUCAGGAAGGACUACUGGCAGGGGAAGCCAGAGGGACAUAGAUCACAUCUCACGAGCAAGAGCGAAUCAGCCCAGGGUCUAUAUAGAGAGCCAGGAUGGGGCUGGGAAUCCACACCGCUAAUUGGUCAUUUGGACAAAGAAAGCCUGCUAUGUGGAUGCCUGGGCUAAGCAUUAUAUAAAGUAGCCACUCAGCAAACUUUUCUCCAAUCCCUCAUCCCCUGCCACUCCCUCUCCUUACUCUGUCUUCUCCUUUUUCUGUUCCCUCCUGCUCUCUUCUGACCUCUCAGUCUCCCUCCCCUGUCCUUUUCCCCAUCAUGAAUUUGUACUCUCUCCCCUACCCACUUGUCUGGCCCCUCUUUGUCCUCCUUUCUGGCCUCCCUUUAUCAGGGCUGGUUGUUCUAUAGUUUCUGACCUUGCUAGCCCUUCAUUUCCUGGGCUUUCUGGUAAGUCAUUUUAGUAUGAAGAAGAGGUUCUAGGAUCCUCCGCACCACCUCACCCUCUACCCAUCACUCUGUGCUUCCUUUGCGCAUGCCUCACAUGGGCUGAGGGUCUGGACAACCCAGGCCAGGACUCAUGAAACCUCAUCUACAAAAGGCUAAAGAAUAAAGCUGUGGGGCCUGGAGUUCCCACUGAAGCUGCCCAUUCGUGUUCUUGUAGUGUAAGGAAUGCUGUAGCUAAUACCUAACACACAGAUGAGCUUGCCAUCCAAUAGAUCUCCUUCCUUCUUUAUAAAGGGACAGGACUUGGUCAUGGACACUUCUUGACCUCAUCAGAGCCCAGAGUAAGCCUACAUCCGAGCAUUAUGUUCCCAAUUUCCACUUGCACAGACCAAAGUUUCUUGGCCCCUCUCCUCUAGGCUCCUAAGGGAUUGUAUGGGUCCUGUGACCCAGAAUCCAGCCUUGAACUUGUGAACAGAGAAGGACACACAAGUUAUGUAGCUGCCAGUUAGGUUGGAACUCUCAGAUCCCUGUCCAAAAUUAGAGAAUUUGGAAAAUAAGUCUUGGUUGAUACAAUAUACGAGGCACAUGCAUAUGUGCCUGCACACAUACAGGAAUUAUGAAGGAAACAUUUGUGCGUCUUUAUUCUUAGAGACUGCAGGAAUGAAUUCAGCAGAGAACACAGUGGGAGUUCGACCCAGUUUAGCAGAAAGUCUGUCUGAACUGAAACUGCAGAUAGCACUCCCAGUUCUUGUUCUCAUGAUGCCACUGCCCGUGUACGGAACCAUACGUCAGAGGGGCAAAAUCAGAAAUGGGAGGUGGGGUACGGCAGCUCAAUAUCAUGGGCCUUCCAUGGGACAGGGACUGGGAUUUGUGGGAGAUUUGCACGGAAGCCAUGAAGGGUGAUGAAUAGGGUGAAAGAGGAAGAAGGGGCAAGAGAAGGUAGCCCCUGCGUGUUCUUGAAGGAUCAGUGUGGGCCUGCCUAUUGCCCUAUUAGUGACACCUUGCCUGAGAAGAACCGGAUGGGCCCUCUGUCCACCUGCCUCUUCUAUCUGUUCACACUGCACAGGAAGGGGCUGGGGACCAGCACACUGCUUUCUACUGCUGGUUUUAUGAUUCUAACUGGGUUGCUGUCGGUGACAAACUGCAAUGCCAAACGUGUUCCUUACCCCUUGCCCAAGUCACAGACAUCGACUCUUCCUCCAAAGCAACAAGGUAAGGGGUUACUACAUGGCUUCUUUUCCCUGCGUUUUGUUUGGCCUGCAAGGCACAGAAUUCUCCUUUUAGUCUAAAAUCUGCCACUCCAUCAUGCAAUGUCCCAUGAAGUCACACCUUGCCUUUCUUGGCUUUAGGCCCCAGGUAUGAUAACAGUUGACAACCCACUUUGGUUCUAAAAGCCAGGGAAUGCUUUGCCUUACUAAUUCUGUGCAUCAAGAGAACUGCAUUGAAAAGAUGAAAUAAACCAGGGAUAUUUGACAUUACUGUUCACAGACUAAACAGAGGAAGAAUUUUCCUCUCUUACAGUGAAUGAAGGGGUUCCGGAAGACUGUACCAUUGGACUAUGGUCUAUGACUACCUACGCAUACCUCUCCCCUUACAGAGAGACAUUCAGAAUUGGACGCGGCUUUCCGGGAAGAUUAUCUUAAGAUGCCCCCUGGAGCAACGUCAUUUUCUCUCCCAUGUCAUUGCUUCCAGAUGGCCUCUGAGGAUGAACCGAAGGGACGCAUUUCCAGACUCCAGCAGUGUGCAAUGAUCCAGGACAAAAAGUAUCUAUAAGAACCCAAUGCUCUAUACAUUCAUAAGUCAGUGGGCUACUAGAAGAUGAUGGAAAUUUUAAGAUGUUAGAUCUGCUGGAAGAAGUGGGUCACUGGGGACACAGCCUUGAAGGCUGCGCAUUGUCCUAACCCCACUGUCACAUCUUGGCCAUGACAGACUCAGCAGCUUCCCUCCACCAAAAGCUUUCCUCACCAGGCACUGCUCCACCACAGGCCUGAAAGCAACGGAAUUACAGAGGGAAACCACAAGACAAAACAACCUUUUUCUCCUUUAAGUUGCUCAUCCUGGGUUUCUUUGUCAUAGCGAUGAAAAGCUGACUCACACAAGAGCUCAGUUAUGUAAGGCUACCGGCAAGGGUUCUGAGUGUAGCCUACCUUUGGGGUCACACAAUUCUGCAUUCUAAAGUACAAGAGGAACAGCCUGGAUAUUUUAAGGAAUCUAUCGGCAUCCUUCAUCCUGAGCCUUACCUUGUCAACUACAAGGUCUU
rnacentral:sRNA from 1 species